rnacentral:lncRNA from 1 species
AGGUUAUAUCUCAGCUGCCAAAAAUGAGACAGUGUGAAGAACAGAAACCAAUGCCAUGAGCAGCCCCAGAUGAAUCCUGUGAUGGCUCGUCUGUGAGCAGAAAGAUGAUAGUUACUCUCUUGAGCCAUACAAGUACGAGGCUGGCCCCAAUCCUUCCCGAUAAGCAUCAAAUGGCGACAACUAGCUACAAGAAAUUCCUCCAGCAACAGAAUAAGUAUUGGCACGACAAGAAGUAAUCUACUGAUGGGAAUAGAGGCACUGAAAAUCAUCCCCUGACUAGUCAAUCCCAAAUUCACCUGCAAAUCCUCAUCCUGACACAAUCAGGAAGAUGUCAAAUGCAGGCACAUCAUGGACAGAUCUUGUACAUCUUUUCAGCAAUUCACCUUGGCCCUGAGCUAGAAGGAACUCCUGUUAGAGCUUCCAGGGACUUAAAAAUUUCAUUGAGGAGACAGUUUUCUUUCAACCUUCAUGUCCAAUUCUGACACAGUCCUAAGAGCUGCCCGUAAUAUCCAGAAGGAGGUGGAUCUGAGAAGAUAUUGCUGUGAACCACCAGAGGACUACCUUAUAGGUGCUCAAGAUGCUCCAAUUGAUGGAAGUAUUCAAAGGUGAAGCCACAGAGCAUGGAAGUAAACACUUCAAAAUGAGAGCAUGAAAAUCUGGACUGACAUGGACGGGGGAUGGGAUUUUGUCUGAGAGGUUCACAUACUAAGAGGAAAAAAUAUGUCCACGGAUUCUUAGGUAAGUUCUAUAAUAUAAUUAUUUCUAAGAAUUACAUGAAGCCAAUUCUUACCUGGAGAAACGGUUGACUGUACCUGCUCCCCAUGAACUUCAACAACAACAACAAAAAUCUGUUAGAAAGAUAAUGAAACAAACUCUACUUUGGGUGAGAAAAAAAAAAAUAGGUAAUCACAUGCGAAGUUGAUUCCUUUCUAAGCUCUUAACACACGUUGGUUUAAUUCUCAGAACAACCUGGUAAGGUAAGUACAAAGUAUCCCAUUUUACAUAGGAGGAACUUAGGCUCAGAGAGUUUCAAUGUGUUUGUAAAGGUCAUUAUCUUAUCUAAAGUUAAGAGUCAGUAAGUGGCAGAGCCCAAAGUAAUACUGAGAUCUAACUAAUUCCUAAAUCUCUCUUACUUCAUGUCGCAUUUCUUUCUUCCAAAGUAAGUGGCUUUGUUCUGACUGCCCAGAGAUAUGCAUAUUCUGUAAUUACGGUCAGAUAUAGAAAAUGUUAACUCAUGUGAAGUUGAAAAGGUUUUUAAGAGGUAAAAUGUAUUUUUACAUGUCCUUUCGUUUGCUUAUGUGAUGUUUCUAAAACUUUCCCUGGGUUUAGAAUGUGUACCUUCCUAAUGUGGUUAAGACACAAUGGAACAUUGGUAAAUAAAGCUUUUAUUAGGCUCCUGUAAAGUGCCCUGGAGGGAAAAAACAUUCUCUGUGACACCAUCACUCUACUCUAUCCUCAGACAUUCUUGUCAUCUUAUUGCGCAGUUUCUGGACAGAUUUUAUAGUAGUCAUUAGUUCAGUUAUUGACACUCAAAGAAAAAAUUGGUAAUCCAAGUAGUUCAGGUAAUAAGUUUUAUAGUAAUUUUAUAAUAAAGUAACUGAUUUUUGUAACGAGUUAUGUAACAAAUUAGCUCUCUGAAGAAGUUAAACUUAAAAUCGAAACAUACAUUUAUUGAAAAAUCAGUAUGUUUAAAUAUGCUAUAAAAACAAAUUUGAUACAAUUAAAUUUGAUACAUUUUAAAAAUAUUUGAAUCUCAGUGAACUCAAAACUUCUGGCAGAUUUUUUCCUGACCCUAAAUUUUAUUAUUUAGAUCAUUUAAAUCGUUUGUUUGUUUAUAGUUGAUUUACAAUGUUGUGCCAAUUUCUGUUGUAUAGCAAAAUGACUCACUCAUACAUAUAUAUAUAUACAUACUUUUUAUAUUAUUUUCCACUAUGUUCUGUCUCAGGAGAUUGGAUGUAGUUCUCUAUGAUACACAGUAGGACCUUAUUGUUUAUCCAUUCUAAAUGUAAUAAUUUGCAUCUACCAACUCCAAGUUUCUAGCACUGCCCACUCCCUCCCCUCUGCCCCUGGCAACCACAAGUUUUUCUCUAUGUUUGUGAGUCUGUUUCUGUUUUAUAGAUAGGUUCAUUUGUGCUAUAUUUUAGAUUUUGCAUAUAAAUGAUAUCAUGGUAUUUGUCUUUCUCUUUCUGUCUUACUUUACUUAGUAGGAGAAUCUCUAGUUUUCACCCAUGAUGCUGCAAAUGGCAUCACUUCAUUCUUUUUUUUUGGCUGAGUAGUAUUCCAUUAUGUGUAUGUACCACAUUGUCUUAGUCCACUCAUCUGUCGAGGGGCACUUAAGUUGUUGCCAUGUCUUGGCUAUUGUGAAUAGUGCUACUGUGAACAUAGGGGUACAUGUAUUCUUUUUUUUUUUUGUCUUUUUGUCUUUUUCUACGGCCACACCCAUAGCAUAUGGAGGUUCCCAGGCUAGGGGUCUAAUUGGAGCUGUAGCCACUGGCCUACACCACAGCCACAGCAACGCCAGAUCUGAGCCAUGCCUGUGACCUACACCACAGCUCAUGGCAAUGCUGGAUCCCUAACCCACUGAGCAAGACCAGGGAUCGAACCUGCAACCUCAUGGUUCCUAGUCAGAUACGUUAACCACUGAGCCACAACAGGAACUCCACAUGUAUCUUUUUGAAUUAUAGUUUUGUCUGGAUAUAUACCCAGGGAUGAGAUUGCUGGCUUAUGUGGUAGUUCUAUUUUUAGUUUUCUGAGGAAUCUCCAUGCUGUUUUCUAUAGUAGUUGCACCAACUUACAUUCCCACCAACAUUGUAGGAGGGUUUCCUUUCCUCCAUACCCUCUCCAGCAUUUGUUAUCGGUAGAUGGACAUUCUGACUGGUUUUAGGCGGUACCUCAUUGCAGUUCUGAUUUGCAUUUCUCUAAUAAUUAACUAUGUUGAGCAUCUUUUCAUGUGCCUACAAGGCUCAGUAAAUCUUUAUUGAUAUCUACCUAUUUUAUUUGUCUGAUGGAGAAGCCAUGCUACACUAAAUUACACCAGAACAGGAAAGAGAAGAUCUCUUUGGAACUACUACAAUGAGGAAAUAACAUUGGAAACUAUUAAGCUUUUUUAAUUACUAGUUAAAAUUUAUUAAAGCAAGAACUUUGUCUCAUCCCAUAGGAUCUAAGAUAGUCCGUGGUACAAAGUAAGUCUUAGUGGCUGGUUUGUGUUACACAGUUCUGAAAGGUCUGUAAUUUGUGCAUAAUGGAGAUCUAUGAUUUCAUGGACUAAAAGAUUCUACUGUAUCUAAUCUUGUAGAAGUAAUAUUUUUCUUUGGAACAUUCUCUGGUUGAUGGUCUUCAACAACUUUCUACUCCUAUUCCAAUAAAAAUAAAUUAUAAGUGAAUAACAAUAUUAAAUUAUUCUUUAGUUUCCAUUACCAGGGAGCACUCUAAGCAAUAUAUGGAAACAUAAAAGGAAAAGGCAGUUUCUAAGUUAAUGACAAUUUAAACUAUGUAGCACUUUUAAGACAAAAAUUUUAAAAAUGCAGAUAUACAUUUAUAUAUAUUAAUGUUAUUUAUAUGUUUUAAUAUAUACUUUCUAAAGUAUUUGCAUUUUAAUCUGGUUCCUUCCUCUCUUCCUUUUUAAAAAUCUCUCAUUCUCCUCACAUGUGUAAACAGCAGAAAUAGGCAUGUGAGAAGUAUCACAAACCUGUAGACAUUUUCACUCACCUCUGUGAGUGAAUAAAUAGGGAAAGCACUUGUGUUUGCUGUACAUGUAUUACCUAUGAACUUGAACCAUAUAAAAUUGUACUUUUUCUAGAUUAAAAUGGUCAGAUAUUGACUAGUUCAUAGAGUUCAGGUAAUAUAUUACAAAUUUCGUUCCACUGGUGUUCUGUGAUAAUAAAAUAUUUCCUCCUCUUUUUUAUGUUUAAUGAAACUAUACUCAGUGUAUACAGAACUGCUCAUAAUUCUAAAGCUGAUUGGUAUUCUAUUUUCUGGUUUGGUUAACUCAAUCAGUUAAGACACUAUACUACUGAGCCAUUUAAUUUAUCAAUAAAAUAUCUGCAAAUGUGGGUUUUUAAUUACAAAGAAGAGCUAGUAAAGGGGUAUGGAUUUUUCCUUGUCCAUCCAAGGUUUAUUUCUCUUAUAGUAACUUCUUCCUCCAUUAUUUUCCCUAAUAUCCCGAAGUAUAAACUUUCAUCUCUCUCCAUUUAAUGCAAAUUUCAGCCCUCCUACCAACUCUUUACUGCUUAUUAGAGAAGUCAUGGCUCAGGAAAAAAAUUAAUAGUCCAUAGUUUGCACAUUUUUAAGAGUUUUUUUUUUCAAAACUAAAUUUAAAAAUGUGGUUGGAGGUGUUUUCAUAAGGAUAAAUGAAUUUCUUAAGACAUUUUCAUUGUAGCAUUUAUUAUUUUUUAUUUCUCGAAAUAUUUUCUUUAAAUUAUGCAUGAUGAUUAUGUUUAUGCAAAUAUUCCUAAAUAUGAUGCAAGUUAGUCCCCUAUAAUCCAUAUGCAUAAUAUAUCAUAAUUUUCUUUUGCUCCACUUGUCACAUUUAUAAUCAAAUACUUACUUGUAAUAUUAUUUUGAAUUAUAUAUUGAGAGAAAAUAUGUAUUCAUUAAUGAAGAUUUAUUAAUUAUGAAUUACUUACUGCAGUAAAUACAGAAACUUUUACAGUGCCAGACACAUAAUAGGUGCUUAUACUUUCUGACUAAAUAUCUGGAUGAUUGAAAUAGUAUAGUAUAAAUCAAAAUACAAAGGCACAUAAUUGUGAAAUUGGAUCAUGAAAAUGCUAACUUUCUUGAGCAGGUAAAACUCAAAAAAAAAGGAAACACAAAUGGUUAAUAAUUCUACAAGAAAAGGUUAAACCUAACUAAUGAUUAAAGAAUUAUAAAUUAAAGCAACAAAAUGCCAUUUUUACUUAUCAGAUUGGCAAACUUUAAAAUGGUUGAUAAUAUCUAGUGCUGGUAAGAAUGUGGUGAAAUGUUUAUGCUUGUAUGCCUUUGGAGGCAACAUAAAUUAGUGCGGCUCUUAAGAGAAAUUUGCCUUAUCUUUUAAUAUUUAUAGUUACUGUCUAAUGACUCAGCAAUCAUGCUUAUAGGCAUUUAUCCUAUAAAUCUAUUCAGGCAAGUGAGAGGUGAUACAUGCCCCAGUUUGUAUAUUGUAGUAUUUCAAAAAAUGAAGGGAAAAAGCUAGAAACAGUAAACAUUUUACCAUUUUUUUGAAUAAAACUCACAACUAUUGAAGCUAAUUUCUUUUAUGCUUAUUGAAGAGAGAGGAUUUGGGAAUGAGAGGAUGAUUUUUCUUCUAAAAUAUCCUUUAUAUACAUAUAUUCUGUCAAAUGGGCUGCAGCCUUUUAUUACUGUAGAUAAUUGUAUUAUUUGUUAUUGAUCUUUCUUCAGAUGACAACAUUUAUUAUUUUUACAGAAAUUGUGUAAAUGAGGAAAACUGUAAAAAGAUUUUUCCUCUCAGUUUAUUUUGCGGCAAGUGUCAGUCUUUACUGUGAAUGUAAAUUUCAGGGUUAAAAUUAAUAAUCCUAGAAGGAGAAGUGCAAAUCAUACAACCUCCUCUCUUACCCAGGUAAAAGUUUAAGGAAAACACAAAUGAAUCACGCAUUUCUGUAUAAUCUGUGCUUUUGUCAAAAGGUUGCCAUGACUCAUUUAUGACUUUCCAUAGUUUUAAAACCAGUGUUUUUAACCAUAGAAAAUCUACUUCAUGGUCCUAUUAUGACAACUGUUGAGUCAAUAAUAGACUCUUUAGUUCAUGCAUGGAUGUUUUUGUAGAAAUAAACCAAGUACAACUGUCCCUUGCUAAUACUCCAUGAAGCGGAAUCCUAAACAAAGAAAGAGAGAGAUUAUAAAACCAAGUUCUCCUACAUGCAUUACUUUGGGUGCUAUAUACUGUGUGGGGUGCCAGAGAUACCACCUCAUUUGAUUGUCAUAGCUCCCUGAAGGAUCAGCUACAGCUCAAGGAUCAAGUAGCUGCUAAGAAUGCAAAGGACUAGAUUUGAACCCAAAUUCAUAUGAUUUCAAAUAUCACUUACAGGUCCAAAUGACGAGGCAGUCCUGACUUAAUUCAGUGCAACAUCUGUUCUUUCUUUUAGCUAGCCCCACAGUGAUCAGGAUCAGAUCUUUGGGACAGUAUUCUGUGAAAUAAAUGCUUUGCUACUCAGUUAUAAGCAGCGUGCCCUGGCAUUGAGAUAGAAACAAUAUUUAUGGAUCAUUCUAAUGUAUCGUUUUAACCAGUGGUCUUAUUGUGGUCCUACGUAUGAUUGAAAGAAAAGAGAUAGGAGUUCCUAAUAUGACUUGGCGUAAGAAACCUGACUAGUAUCCAUGAGGAUGCAGGUUUGAUCCCUGGUCUCGCUCAGUGCAUUCAUGAUCUGGCAUUGCAAUAAGCUGUGGUGUAGAUUGCAGACGCAGCCCUAGUCCUGUGUUGCUGUGGCAUACAUAGGCCAGAAGCUGCAGCCCUGAUUUGACCCCUAACCUGGGAACUUCCAUGUGCUACAGGUGUGGCCUUGAGAGCAAUAAAUAAAUAAAUGAAUAAAUAAAAAGUCCUCUGGAUUUCCAACACUGGUAAUAAUAAACACCCCUUUAAAAAGUGGGCAUUACCUGUGGGUAUUCUUUUGAAGUCAUUCUUCUCUAGAGGGAUUGCAUUAAAUGAAUUGACUUUGACUUGGCCACGAAGAGAGGAAAACUUGCUUCAAUAAUUCAGAAUAUUUCAGGAGCUUAAUUCCUCAAGAAAAUAUUUUAUUUGCCUCAUUUUUCCUUUGAGGUCCCUUUCAAGCUGCAUACUUUAUUUUAGCUCUCAAUUCAUUUCAUUUUGUGUAGAAAGAAUAGUAAUAAUAAAAAAAGGACACUGCAGAAAUUGAGAUAAUACAGCUGUUUCUACUACCAUGUCUUUAUGUCUCUUUAAAAGCAACAAGAGGCUCAUAAACAUUAGAAUUAACUGAGAGUGAAAUCCCAUCUCUUAGCCAUAUAUCACAUUUCUUAUAUCAUAGCACUUACUUAAAAGUCAUGUUACUGUUUUCUUUAACUCAGAAGCUCUGACUCAAGAAUAAUAUGCCCCUAACAUGACUGAUGUGUCUCUUAUAACUACAUAGGGUAAAAGCUUAAACUAUUGUGUGUGCCUGGAGUUGCUGCUCUAUCAUCUUAGUUAAUUUUCUUCAUGUCCCAUGUUUUGUUGUCUCUCAUAAGUGACUGUAUUUAAGAAAAAGAGAAAAUUGGGUGUGGUUAUUUAUGCAGGUCCUAUGGUUAAUACACUCCUAAAGUAGGUACCUGCUAUCUUUAUUACUGCAAACACCAUAGAUUCUAUGGUUCAUGUUUGGAAAGAAAAGAAUAAACAAUUUUAGCAUACAAAAUUGAGAUGAAUUGCAACUCUAUGGUUUGAGCAAUUUGAAUUCUUAAGAUACAUGUCCUAGUUAUAUAUUGAGAGGUUUAUUAAUUAAACCCAGCUUGAUCUCUGGACCUCAUGUGCUAAGAACUUUAAUUUGAAGGCUUGCCUACUUUGCUUUUGAUGCCACUUAGGGUCCAAAAUUAUUGUACUGAAAUAGUUCUCAAACCCUGAUUCAACUUUAAUGAGGAGAAAUCACAUUAUUAGAUCAUCCAAACACUUCUAUUUACCAGUCACAUCUUGUCACAGCUUUAGUAGCAGCUGUCCACAGAUAUAAGUUUUCACAAAUGAAAAAUCAGGAUAGGAAAGGCAGGUGUCACCUAGAAAAUCUUGAACUCUUUCCAAGAGGCAUUUUGUUGAAUUGCUAAACUGAUAAACUUAGGUUCUCUCACAAGGCUCCAGGGAGGAGCUCAUCAAGCACGUGGUAGCUCCCCGCCCCCAACAGCCAUCAUUAAGUAGAAACCCCUAAGUUUAGAAAAAUAUAAAAUGUUCCUAUCAGUCACGAUUCUUAAGAAAGCCCAUUCGAAUUGUGAUUAAGUUAAAUAGGAAGCCCCUGAAAUUCAAGUCUGCAUAUUUUUUUCUUAGAGCAAAUGUUUUUAAUUUAAUCAAAGAAGAAAAUGAAAAAGACAUGUCUUUCAUAUUUACCAAUGCCUUCAUUUGUUUUCAGAUGCCUCCUCCUCCUACCUCUUAAAUUCAGAUAUUUCUUGAGGAUCCUCAUUGUAGGUGCCUCUUUGAAAGGCUUUCACUUCCUACUCAACUAGCAUCUCUGCAUACAGCACUCCAGGUCAUAAUCUUUGCUCUUUUUGGGAUCCACAUUCUGAAUAUUUAUUGGCUAUGGAUCCAAUUCUGCCACUAAUUUUACUUUUUAAAUUACUCAUGAAGCAGCUCCUGUUAUAAGCACUUUACGUGCAUUUGCUCAUUUAAGUCUUACCACAAAUAAUAAAGAGUACAUUAUGGUUCUUGAUGUACAGAAAGGGAAACAGAAACUUAAAGAAAGGUUAAGAGGAAGCUGCUCCAAACUGACCCAGCUAGUGAGAGACAGAGCUGGGACUUCAGCCUAGGUGGUUCUUCCUCGAAAGCCUGUGAGCUUGACCACUAGGCUGUUGGAAAUCACUUUUCUCACUCUGGUUUGAAACCUGAGGUGAAUCUUUGACAUUUUCUUUUAUUGUUUACUUGCUAGACUACAGGCAAAAUAAAGAUACAAUUUUGGGAGUUCCUGCUGCGGCUCAGCAGAAACAAAUCCCACCAGUAUCCGUGAGGAGGAUGUGGGUUUGAUCCCUGGCCUCACUUGGUGGGUUAAGGAACCAGUAUUGUCGUGAGCUAUGGUGUAGGUUGCAGACAUAGUUUGGAUCUGGCAUUGCUGUGGCUGUGGUGUAGGCCAGCAGCUGCAGUUCCAAUUAAACCCCUAGCCUAGGAACCUCCAUAUGCCACCGGUGUGGCU